UACGGAGGAUCCGAGCGUUAUCCGGAUUUAUUGGGUUUAAAGGGUGCGCAGGCGGAAGAUUAAGUCGGUGGUGAAAUUUUGCAGCUCAACUGUAAAAGUGCCAUUGAUACUGGUUUUCUUGAGUGUGGAUGAAGUAGGCGGAAUUUGUGGUGUAGCGGUGAAAUGCAUAGAUAUCACGAGGAACUCCGAUUGCGCAGGCAGCUUACUAAACCAUAACUGACGCUCAGGCACGAAGGCGUGGGGAUCAAACAGGAUUAGA
rnacentral:rRNA from 1 species